rnacentral:rRNA from 1 species
UACAGAGGUCUCAAGCGUUUGUUCGGAUUCAUUGGGCGUAAAGGGUGCGUAGGUGGCGCGCUAAGUCAGGUGUGAAAUUUCGGAGCUUAACUCCGAAACUGCAUUUGAUACUGGUGUGCUUGAGGACUGGAGAGGAGACUGGAAUUCAUGGUGUAGCAGUGAAAUGCGUAGAGAUCAUGAGGAAGACCAGUGGCGAAGGCGGGUCUCUGGACAGUUCCUGACACUGAGGCACGAAGGCCAGGGGAGCAAACGGG